GGAGAUAUGGCUCAGCGGUAGAGCACUUGCCUUGCAAGCAUGAGGCCCUGGGUUCCAUUCCCAGCACCA
rnacentral:tRNA from 1 species